rnacentral:rRNA from 1 species
GUAAGGAAUAUUGGACAAUGGGGGAAACCCUGAUCCAGCCAUGCCGCGUGAGUGAAGAAGGCCUUCGGGUUGUAAAACUCUUUCAGAUGUGAAGAUGAUGACGGUAACAUCAGAAGAAGCUCCGGCUAACUUCGUGCCAGCAGCCGCGGUAAUACGAAGGGAGCGAGCGUUGUUCGGAAUCACUGGGCGUAAAGAGUGCGUAGGCGGUUAUACAAGUCAGGAGUGAAAUCCCAGAGCUUAACUUUGGAAUUGCUUUUGAAACUGUAUAGCUAGAGUCCCGGAGGGGUUAAUGGAAUUCCGAGUGUAGAGGUGAAAUUCGCAGAUAUUCGGAGGAACACCAGUGGCGAAGGCGAUUAACUGGACGGGCACUGACGCUGAGGCACGAAAGCGUGGGGAUCAAACAGGAUUAGAUACCCUUGUAGUCC